rnacentral:tRNA from 1 species
AACCCUGGAAUUAAAAAAAAUGGAAGUUUUUCUCUUAUCACAAGUCUUGUGAUAUAAAUGAUACAUGAACAGC